rnacentral:rRNA from 1 species
GACGUAGGGCGCGAGCGUUUGUCCGGAUUUAUUGGGUGUAAAGAGCUCGUAGGCGGCUUGUCACGUCGGGUGUGAAAGCCCGGGGCUUAACCCCCGGGUCUGCAUUCGAUACGGGCUGGCUAGAGUGUGGUAGGGGAGAUCGGAAUUCCUGGUGUAGCGGUGAAAUGCGCAGAUAUCAGGAGGAACACCGGUGGCGAAGGCGGAUCUCUGGGCCAUUACUGACGCUGAGGAGCGAAAGCGUGGGGGAGCAAACAGG